ANAGUUUGAUGAUGGCUCAGAACGAACGCUGGCGGCAGGCCUAACACAUGCAAGUCGAGCGCACCUUCGGGUGAGCGGCGGACGGGUUAGUAACGCGUGGGAAUAUACCCUUUGGUACGGAAUAGCCUCUGGAAACGGAGAGUAAUACCGUAUGAGCCCUUCGGGGGAAAGAUUUAUCGCCAAAGGAUUAGCCCGCGUUAGAUUAGGUAGUUGGUGGGGUAAUGGCCUACCAAGCCUACGAUCUAUAGCUGGUUUUAGAGGAUGAUCAGCAACACUGGGACUGAGACACGGCCCAGACUCCUACGGGAGGCAGCAGUGGGGAAUCUUGGACAAUGGGGGCAACCCUGAUCCAGCCAUGCCGCGUGAGUGAUGAAGGCCUUAGGGUCGUAAAGCUCUUUCGCCUGUGAAGAUAAUGACGGUAGCAGGUAAAGAAACCCCGGCUAACUCCGUGCCAGCAGCCGCGGUAAUACGGAGAGGGUUAGCGUUGUUCGGAAUUACUGGGCGUAAAGCGCACGUAGGCGGACUGGAAAGUUGGGGGUGAAAUCCCAGGGCUCAACCCUGGAACUGCCUCCAAAACUAUCAGUCUAGAGUUCGAGAGAGGUGAGUGGAAUUCCGAGUGUAGAGAUGAAAUUCGUAGAUAUUCGGAGGAACACCAGUGGCGAAGGCGGCUCACUGGCUCGAUACUGACGCUGAGGUGCGAAAGUGUGGGGAGCAAACAGGAUUAGAUACCCUGGUAGUCCACACCGUAAACGAUGAACGCCAGUCGUCGGGUAGCAUGCUAUU
rnacentral:rRNA from 1 species